CCUACGGGAGGCAGCAGUGGGGAAUAUUGGGCAAUGGAGGCAACUCUGACCCAGCAACGCCGCGUGAGUGAUGAAGGUCUUCGGAUUGUAAAACUCUUUAAGUGGGGACGAAGAAAGUGACUGUACCCACAGAAUAAGCCUCGGCUAACUACGUGCCAGCAGCCGCGGUAAUACGUAGGAGGCAAGCGUUAUCCGGAAUGACUGGGUGUAAAGGGAGCGUAGGCGGUAAGGCAAGUCUGAUGUGAAAGGCCAGGGCUCAACCCUGGAACUGCAUUGGAAACUGUUUAACUGGAGUGUCGGAGAGGCAAGUGGAAUUCCUAGUGUAGCGGUGAAAUGCGUAGAUAUUAGGAGGAACACCAGUGGCGAAGGCGGCUUGCUGGACGAUGACUGACGCUGAGGCUCGAAAGCGUGGGGAGCAAACAGGAUUAGAUACCCGAGUAGUC
rnacentral:rRNA from 1 species